AUACAAUAUCUGCGAGGGAGAAUACGGAUUGGUAAGGGCCGGGGCUGUGGCAAGCCGAAGUUAAGCACUUGUAAAUGAGCAGAAGUAAAUUACUUACUCCGACCGCAGCAUUAGUAGUUAUAAGCUCAAGUGCUGGCAAGAAACCUCUGUCCAUUAAACCAACAUUACAUAUGGAAUCAGAUGGGACUUCCUCAGAGAGGUUGUAAGACAAUUGAGUAAAAAGAGGUUGAUUCAGAUGGUUUCAUAAUAAGAAGAAAACUCUUACGUGAGAGACUUCCCUUGAAAGAUGACUGGUGGAGCAACUGCAGCAAAGCCGCAGAAUGCAAUGUGGAACUGAAAAGUUCAAGACACUGUUAAACAUCGAAACAACUCUGAUUGCAGAGGGAAAUCUAGCAAAUGGGGAUAUAUACGGUUUAUCUUACCACGUAAAACACGAAGAAUGUUCCAAACUUCAGGGCACUAUCAGUUCUGCAUAGAGCUGAUUUUACCUGGAAGCUCGGUAAAGAGGACGAUACCAUAAGACGUAAGCACCAGGGACCCCAGAAAUGAAGUAGAUGAUUGACAUAAGCCAUAUAGUGGGACCUGAUAAACCAUCAGAAUCAGAUGAGUGAACAUGAUCAGUGGAAAUAACUAAUAAAAGAUAUGAACAGUAGAUUUGUUUGCAACGGUCUAAGGGUGGCCUUUUUGCGUUACCUAACAAGGUGGUGAAUGCGACGUAUUGGAUCUUCUGUAAGUGAAUCGGAAUCUCGUUAGGGAUGUCAUGAUGAAUUAGAGGGAAAAACUCUGGCCAGUUCUUCUCCUCAAUGACAACUCCAGCUGCCAACAAAAAAAAAAAAACAAUCGUAUCAGGAGGUCAACAUGGAAAGCUAGUAAGUUACCUGCUCUUUCCGGUUCAAUUCGUUCUCCUUAGCCUGAAGCUCCAUCUCUUUAGCUCGAAUAUCCUUCAAACAUAAACAGCAAAUUAAAAUAAGAUCAUGAGGCAAAAAAAAAAUGGAGAAGGUAUUGAAGAUAGGGUACCUUUUCGGAAUCCAAAGGGAUAUCGAUGGUAGCACCACCACGAUCAUGAGGUUCAGGUGGGAGAGGCUUGAGAUAGGAGGAGUUGCUUGCAGGAGUAGCACUUGUAUUAUCCUAAAACAUUAGAUCAUCGAUAUCAAUCAAACGGGUAAAAGAAUUACAGAAAGAUGAGUGAUUGGAUUCUUGAUUAUGAAUACCGCAAAAGGAUUGG